rnacentral:lncRNA from 1 species
GACCAAACGGGUCAAAAGGUGAAAAUAUCACUCUUUGACAAUAUCGACUAAUGAUUUGUUGAGUUGUAUGAUUACAGAAAUAGUUAUCGAAUGGAUAAUUACAUCGCUACACUUAGCGGCUAUUGAGGCAAGGUAUUUAAAUGGGUCAAUAUAAUGAUCUGAGCCAGGUACAUUUUGAUGCCGGAAGACGAUCAAGCUUAACGAAGAACCGAACACGAUAA